UACGUAGGGUGCAAGCGUUGUCCGGAAUUAUUGGGCGUAAAGAGCUCGUAGGUGGCCUGUCGCGUCGGCUGUAGAAACGUCGGGCUCAACUCCGAGCUUGCAGUCGAUACGGGCAGGCUAGAGUUCGGCAGGGGAGACUGGAAUUCCUGGUGUAGCGGUGAAAUGCGCAGAUAUCAGGAGGAACACCGGUGGCGAAGGCGGGUCUCUGGGCCGAUACUGACACUGAGGAGCGAAAGCGUGGGGAGCGAACAGG
rnacentral:rRNA from 1 species